rnacentral:tRNA from 1 species
CAGGAAAUAGUUUAUGGAAAAAUGUUAGUUUUGGGGACUAGAGAAAGAACGGUGUUUUUUUCCUGA